rnacentral:tRNA from 2 species
GAAAGGGAGGGAUUCGAACC